rnacentral:rRNA from 1 species
ACGAACGCUGGCGGCGUGCCUAAUACAUGCAAGUCGAACGAGCUCUCCCAAAUUGAUUUUAUGCUUGCAUAAAUGAUUUUUGGAUUCGGAGCGAGUGGCGAACUGGUGAGUAACACGUGGGUAACCUGCCCCGAAGCGGGGGAUAACAUUUGGAAACAAGUGCUAAUACCGCAUAAUUAGUUGGAACCGCAUGGUUCCAACUUGAAAGAUGGCUCUGCUAUCACUUUGGGAUGGACCCGCGCCGUAUUAGUUAGUUGGUGAGAUAAAAGCCCACCAAGACGAUGAUACGUAGCCGACCUGAGAGGGUAAUCGGCCACAUUGGGACUGAGACACGGCCCAGACUCCUACGGGAGGCAGCAGUAGGGAAUCUUCCACAAUGGACGAAAGUCUGAUGGAGCAACGCCGCGUGAGUGAUGAAGGUUUUCGGAUCGUAAAACUCUGUUGUUAAAGAAGAACAAGUGUUAGAGUAACUGUUAACACUUUGACGGUAUUUAACCAGAAAGCCACGGCUAACUACGUGCCAGCAGCCGCGGUAAUACGUAGGUGGCAAGCGUUGUCCGGAUUUAUUGGGCGUAAAGCGAGCGCAGGCGGUUUUGUAAGUCUGCUGUGAAAGCCCUCAGCUCAACUGAGGAAGUGCAGUGGAAACUACAAAACUUGAGUACAGAAGAGGAAAGUGGAACUCCAUGUGUAGCGGUGAAAUGCGUAGAUAUAUGGGAAGAACACCAGUGGCGAAGGCGGCUUUCUGGUCUGUUACUGACGCUGAGGCUCGAAAGCAUGGGUAGCGAACAGGAUUAGAUACCCUGGUAGUCCCAUGCCGUAAACGAUGAAUACUAGGUGUUGGAGGGUUUCCGCCCUUCAGUGCCGCAGCUAACGCAUUAAGUAUUCCGCCUGGGGAGUACGACCGCAAGGUUGAAACUCAAAGGAAUUGACGGGGGCCCGCACAAGUGGUGGAGCAUGUGGUUUAAUUCGAUGCUACGCGAAGAACCUUACCAGCUCUUGACAUCUUCUGCCAACCCAAGAGAUUGGGCGUUCCCUUCGGGGACAGAAUGACAGGUGGUGCAUGGUUGUCGUCAGCUCGUGUCGUGAGAUGUUGGGUUAAGUCCCGCAACGAGCGCAACCCUUAUUAUUAGUUGCCAGCAUUUAGUUGGGCACUCUAGUGAGACUGCCGGUGAUAAACCGGAGGAAGGUGGGGACGACGUCAAAUCAUCAUGCCCCUUAUGAGCUGGGCUACACACGUGCUACAAUGGAUGGUACAACGAGUCGCGAAACCGCGAGGUCAAGCUAAUCUCUUAAAGCCAUUCUCAGUUCGGAUUGCAGGCUGCAACUCGCCUGCAUGAAGUUGGAAUCACUAGUAAUCGUGGAUCAGCAUGCCACGGUGAAUACGUUCCCGGGCCUUGUACACACCGCCCGUCA